ACUUAGGUUUAUCAUUGUUUAUGUUAGGUAAAAAGUUAAGUAAUUAAAAACAAAACAUAGUGUAAGAGCAAAAAACUGAACUCUUGCUCUCUCUCUAAUUUUUCAGCCACAAGAGAACCAGCAGGGAUUCAACCCAACUUCUUCAAGAUUUCUAGAGUAAUCUAGCUGAAUUCAAGGAAUUUAAUCCAAGGUGAAGGAAAGGCUAAGCACCAGUAAGUCAAGAGCUUGGGGAUGAUUGUACAUGUCAAGAUGGUUUAACCUGGAGAGUUCGAUCUCGGGACGACUUGGGCUUCAUUUUGUAGUCGCUGUGCCACAUGUUUGUAAAGUUUAUUUUGAAUAUGAAUAUAAUUUUUAAAAGUGGGAUCCCAACAUAAAAGUGUGGGUCACUAAAGAGUUAGGAGAGAUUUUUAGUGACCCGUACAAUUAGACUCUAAAUGAUCGGUGUUUGUCACCCAGAAUGUUGGUCACUAAAAAUAUAGAGGGUCACUAAAUACUAAAACCCAAAAUUUAUAAUUUUAUUCAAUAAAAAAAACUAUGGCCGAUAGAGACGCGCAUUACGUGUAUGCAGAAGUGUGUACUGACACACUAUGUGAGUCGUUAAAGCCAUGUGUCAAACACGUGGCUUUAGCGAUGCACAUAGCUUGUCGGUACACACUUUUGCAUACACACAAUGCCCAUCCCCAUAUAGUCAUAUUAAAAAACUAAAAAUCCACUCUUAAUCUCUUAGCCCUUAAUUAUUCAUCGUCUCGUCCUGUUUGUCGCAGACGUGCAAAGAACCAGACCAUAAACCCCCUUCCGUGAAUCAUCUUUCCCAUAUAUUUUUUUAAUUUAUUAAGAAAAAAACUCGGCCCUAACCAGCACACCCCCCGUCCCCUUUCUCUCUCAGACGCCAUAACCAGCAGGUAUGGAAAGAACCAGACCCAAACCCCUUAUGAGAUUCAUCCUUUUCCCCUAUAUUUUUUUUUUUUAAUUUUUGAACCAAAAAACUCGGCCCUAACCAGCAGACCGACCCCGUGCCCUUUCUCUCUCAGGCACCAUAAGGAGCAGACCCCCGAGCCCCUUGUGCCCCUUCAUCUAUCUGGUGCCCUAACUAGCAGGAGCCCCAAGUGAUUCAAGGAUUAAUGACACAUACUUGAAUGCACCUUGCGGAAUUUCAUUCAAGCUGUGUGGAGUCAUGGCUGAAUAAGUGGGGAACAUGCUGCCCUGUAUGUAAGCAUGAUAUGAGAACCAAAUCUAAAAAUUCCGAGGUAAAUUAAGACGAAAUAUUCUACUGUGAGACCGUACAAUUGGUCGGUCCUUAUUUUAUAAGUAAAAUUUUUAUUUCAUAAUGAGACUGUACAAUUAAUAGGUCUUAAUGUGAGACUUAUUAUCUCUAAAUUCUCUUAUUAAUAUCUUAUGUGUUUUGAAUAGGAGUUUUAGGAUAAAUGUAUAAAAAUUUAAUCCCUCAGGAAAAAAAUUUGAUUGUCAACUGGAAAAUAAUGUUAGAUUAAGACAAUAAACAAGGGUAAUGAUUAAAGGGAACUUAAUCCCCUUACUUUUGAACAGUUAUGAAGUCAGUAAAUUAAAAAGAAAAUCAUGCUAAAGAUGUUAGAUUUCUAUGUUUGUAAACGCAUGACUAUGCAAAUUCUAUACUCUCAGAAAUAUUACUUUAUUAGAAAAUAGUAACUUUAGUGACAUUUUCAAAUCUCCAACGUAUAAAAGAGAAGUAAUAAGUAAUGCAAACCAUUCUUGUUUUAUUAUUAUUAUUAGUUUGAUCAUGAUGACACCAAUUAUUUAAAUAGUGUUUUUCAUGUUAUUAUUAUGGUUUUAGUUACUAGCAAGGAUCAUUGCAAACUAA